rnacentral:rRNA from 1 species
ACUCCUACGGGAGGCAGCAGUGGGGAAUAUUGCACAAUGGGCGCAAGCCUGAUGCAGCCAUGCCGCGUGUGUGAAGAAGGCCUUCGGGUUGUAAAGCACUUUCAGCAGUGAGGAAGGCGGAGUCGUUAAUAGCGGCCUCGUUUGACGUUAGCUGCAGAAGAAGCACCGGCUAACUCCGUGCCAGCAGCCGCGGUAAUACGGAGGGUGCGAGCGUUAAUCGGAAUUACUGGGCGUAAAGCGCAUGCAGGUGGUUUGUUAAGUCAGAUGUGAAAGCCCGGGGCUCAACCUCGGAAUAGCAUUUGAAACUGGCAGACUAGAGUACUGUAGAGGGGGGUAGAAUUUCAGGUGUAGCGGUGAAAUGCGUAGAGAUCUGAAGGAAUACCGGUGGCGAAGGCGGCCCCCUGGGACAGAUACUGACACUCAGAUGCGAAAGCGUGGGGAGCAAACAGGAUUAGAUACCCUGGUAGGAUAGCG